AUGCGCGGUGUAACAAGUGCGGUGACUACGUGUGCGUGACUGCGAGAAGCAUUUAUGAAAGCAAAAAUUCCGGCCGUGCUCGCCAUGAACCUUUAUUCUGUACGAAUCAGGCGCUGCUGAGUUACGCAAGAUGUACAGUGCGAGAAGCUUUAGCAAUCUGACUGCAUUCGAGAUGUAUAUGGAAGAGCCAUUCGAUUGGUAACAGUUUUCGACGCAGGAAUACGACUGGAAAAACCCAUCUCGUGCAGAGCCAGUCGUAUAGCCGUACAACAUGCAACCAGUAAGGUUUAUCUGUAUUCUGUAUUCGAUGAAAUAAUUUCAAAGGUACAAAGGAAAUGUCUCCUUGGCGAAAUGACGUAACUUUAGUCUUUUGUGAACCGUUCUUUUCUGAAACUUUUACUCUGAAACUUUUACGUUGACUGAAUGAACAUUUUUAAAACUUUAACUGUUCCAGAUAAAAUCAUUUUAUCUAAUAGAUUAGCUAAUUGGAAUUCUCGAAAUGAUUGUUAAUAGUCUGCCGGUCGCAUUUAGCUGUUAGAAAAUUAAUUAGCUACGAUUAAUUAUAAUCAACACAAAAGAGAGAGUCUCUAACAUAAUUAUAAUCAAAUUAGUAUAUCAACAAUGUGAAAUAAUAAUUUUUAACUUUGUGCCUAUCUAAGAGAUUAUAUUCCUACGAAAUAAUGAAUUAUCAAACGAGAAGGAAAUCAAUUAUUGUCGUGCACCGUAACUUUUCAAUCAGAGCUCAUCUAUGCUGUGCACUUAUCAGUGUGAACUUUCUAUAUGAAUUUUAUGUAAUAUUUUUCACCACGAGUGCACGCGCCUUGCUUAUUAUCUUAGUGCGGCGUAUUUUUCUCUUUCUCUUGUGCUAAUUCGCUCAAGUAUUAUCGCAUUUUUCAUGACUGCGAUAAUUCGAUUGCACAAUCAGGAAUUCUGAUUGAUGAGUACGAUGAUGAGAAGCAUCUAUGUACAUCAUUAAUGAGAGCUUUUCAUGCUUCUGGAUCACCGAAAGGUGGAUAGGAUUCUCCGGUGUCAAUUCUAUCGUCUCUCAAUUGUUCUUUGUCCUUAAAAUCAAUAAAUUUUUAUUUUCCACAAUGAUAUUACAUAUAUAUUGUAGCGUCAGUUUAUUAUUUAAAAUAUAUUUUAUCGUCUAGAUUUCAAGAUUGCUUUUGCAUUUUUUAAAAAUAUGCAUCAUCAGAUUCCUCCCAGGAAAUAUUCAAUGAAAUUAUAAAAUCUUGAAACUUCAUAUUAAUCUUGAUAUUUUCUGGAAGAAAAAAAAAGACAAUGAGAAUUGAUGGGAAUCGAGAAUUUAGGAAAGUCCGUGUUCUUAAUUAACUAAUUUAGGAAAGCCCGUGUCCUUCAUUAACGGAUAAGUGGAACCUGCAAUUGCUGAUCGCAGGAAUUAUGCAAUAACAUAGCAGUCGACUUCCGUUAUAUAACAAAUGAAUCAUAAACCGAUAGGUCAUCAUUUUCGAACGUACCAUCGCGAUUACUGAAUGUUGCACGUAACUGCAAUUAGAUACAAUGAUGAAAAGAUUAUUGCAAUACACGAUUACAAUUAGAAUGAUUAUUCUAUUGAUUACGGGGAAAUGGUAACUCGUUACGCCUUGCUUUUUACCGUGCACGCAUAUUUUUAUUUCUGGAUUUUUGACAAUUUCUCCUAUGGAUUCGCGUGAUUUACACCGUUAUCCCGUGACCAUCGUGUAGCGGUCAAACUACUUUCUUCGUAGUCCACUGUAAGGAAACGCCAAGAUCAUAAUAACAAACUCACCGGAAAUUCCAACGGCAUUUCCUAUUUGAAAUAGAGCUUCGCAACGAUUCGCGCGCGCCAACGCCGACGAACGUGGUUUCGUGGCUAUUUUAUAUCGCUCGUAUUGGAAAAUCGAUUCGCUGUCGUCGUCGGUAUAUGUAAGCCUCAACGCGUAUAAGGAGACUCUGGGCUGUAGAAACUCCCAAUGGGUUUUUCCAUUAUUAUUGAUGCCACGCUACGCGGCAUUGAAACAAUAAAUCCUAACUUAUCGCCUACGCUACUUCGAUUGCCGAUGUUUAAACCGUGUACAUGACUGGUAUUUUGCACGUAAUUAAAAUCGUUUUUAUCAUAUCAGUAUUUCUUGAAUCUUACCGACACUGAAUAACACAAUUGGUUAUCAUUAAAAUAAUGGAGAUUGUAUUGCAUAACGGUAUAGAUACGUGCGAAAACAAUAGUGGCACAGCUUCGUCUUGACGGGGAACAAAAAGCAACAAUGCUAGUAUUUAAAAAUUUUUUUCUUACAUUAAUAAAUCAACGACUUUAGUAAAUAAAUAAUAAAUAUUCAUAAUCUUGAAUGUGUGCUCAGCACAUGCGAGCAAAAAAUGAUCGAAGGAAUCCGAUCGGACGAUCGGCAAUUACAAUUCACGCGGUUGGAAGUGGAAGAGAGAUAUUCUGUAGAUACACGAGAUAUAUGUACAGAUGAUAAAAAUCAUCUCCUCAUACUCUUGGAAUUUUCUCACCUCGUUAUCGUUCGUAACAUCGUUCAUACACAUUAUAGCGACAUUAAGAUAAGAUUACCGGCAAUUAAUCGAGAACAAAGGUAAAAAACUUCUCUUGUGCGAACAGGUAUGGACAAGCAUGGUCAACGUCCGGGUUAUCUCGGGAAAAACCUAACAGAUCCGAUAGCAGACUAGAGAAUGUGUAAUUGAUGAUGCCUCGCGGAAUCGAGAAUCACUGUAUAUAGUCGGCGCUUAUUAAUAGCGAAAUAUUUUAAUAAUUUUAUGUAUUUAUUUAUUUAUUCAUAAUUAAAUUAUAAGAUCAGUACACUUAUUUAUUAAUUAUUUAUAAAUUUUUUAACAAUGUCAAUAUUGGCACAGUUCAUUCUAUUAUCAGGUCGGUAUAAGUUCUUGUUCGUUUUUGCACUUUUUCUUUAUUAAAAUGAAACAAUCAAUACAGCAUAAAUCAAUCAUUUUCCGUUAUUUCCUACUUUUUUCCAUCUUUCUGGCAACAUGUGAAUAUAUUCGAUAAUAAAGGCUUUAUUAAAGGCUCUCUAAUCGGGACCCAUCGGCAAAGAACUUAUGCACCGAUCUAAUAUUUAUAACAAACUAGACUAGACCAUAUAAGACUUGAUCAGAAAUUAAAAAAUAAAUUAUUGAAGAAAAAUAGAGUAUGUUCUACAGAAAAUAAACAUUUCAAGAAUUGUUC